ensembl:snRNA U6 U6 spliceosomal RNA
GUGCUCACUUUGGCAGCACACAUACUAAAACUGGAACAAUACAGAGAAGAUUAGCAUGGCCCCUGUGCAAGGAUAACACAUAAAUUCAUUAAGUGUUUCAUAUUUAA